GACGAACGCUGGCGGCGUGCUUAACACAUGCAAGUCGAACGAUGAACCCGGAGCUUGCUCUGGGGGAUUAGUGGCGAACGGGUGAGUAACACGUGAGUAACCUGCCCUGGACUCUGGGAUAAGCGUUGGAAACGACGUCUAAUACCGGAUAGGACCUUGGAUCGCAUGAUCUGGGGUGGAAAGUUUUUUCGGUCUGGGAUGGACUCGCGGCCUAUCAGCUUGUUGGUGAGGUAAUGGCUCACCAAGGCGUCGACGGGUAGCCGGCCUGAGAGGGUGACCGGCCACACUGGGACUGAGACACGGCCCAGACUCCUACGGGAGGCAGCAGUGGGGAAUAUUGCACAAUGGGCGAAAGCCUGAUGCAGCAACGCCGCGUGCGGGAUGACGGCCUUCGGGUUGUAAACCGCUUUUAGUGGGGAAGAAGGGCUUCGGCUUGACGGUACCUGCAGAAAAAGGACCGGCUAACUACGUG
rnacentral:rRNA from 1 species